UACGUAGGGCGCAAGCGUUGUCCGGAAUUAUUGGGCGUAAAGAGCUCGUAGGCGGUCUGUUACGUCCGCUGUGAAAACCCAGGGCUUAACCCUGGGCUUGCAGUGGAUACGGGUAGACUAGAGGCAGGUAGGGGAGAAUGGAAUUCCCGGUGUAGCGGUGAAAUGCGCAGAUAUCGGGAAGAACACCCGUGGCGAAGGCGGCUCUCUGGGACGGUACUGACGCUGAGACGCGAAAGCGUGGGGAGCGAACAGG
rnacentral:rRNA from 1 species